rnacentral:rRNA from 1 species
UCAAGCGAGAGAUGGCAUGUGGGGGAUGCCUGGGCACAGAGAGGCGAUGAAGGCCGUGGUAAGCUGCGAUAAGCUCGGGGGAGUGGCACACACGCGGUGAUCCCGAGAUGGCCGAAUGGGGCAACCCGGCGGGGCGCGAGUCCCGUCAUCUGCGCGAGCAGAAGCGAACCCUGGGAACUGAAACAUCUCAGUACCGGGAGGAAGAGAAAUCAACCGAGAUGCCCUGAGUAGUGGCGAGCGAAAGGGGCGGAGCCUAAACCGACGUGCGUGCAUGUCGGGGUUAUAGGACCUACGGACGCGAUGGGCGAAAGCAGCUGAACUCCCUUGGAACGGGGGGCCGCAGACGGUGAGAGCCCGGUAGGCGAAGCUGAGGUGCCGAUCGUAGUAGAGUUCCUGAGUACGGCGGGACGCGAGAAAUCCCGUCGGAAGUUGGGGGGACCACCCUCCAAGGCUAAAGACUCCUCUGUGACCGAUAGUGGACGAGUACCGUGAGGGACAGGUGAAAAGCACCCCAGUGCGGGGAGUGAAAGAGAUCCUGAAACCACAUGCCAACAAGCGGUCGGAGGUUGGCCAUGGCGCGAGCUGUGGCACGACUGACGGCGUGCCUUUUGCAUUAUGAUCCGGCGAGUUACGCCUCAGGCGCGAGGUUAAGUGGCUGAGCCACGGAACCAGAGCGAACGCGAGUCCUGCAGAGGGCGAUUAGAGUGCCUGGGGGUAGACCCGAAGCCAGGGCGAUCUAUCCAUGAGCAGGGUGAAGCGUCGGUAACACGACGUGGAGGCCCGCACCGGUAUGGGUUGAAAACCGUUCGGAUGACUUGUGGAUAGGGGUGAAAGGCCAAUCAAGCCUGGAGAUAGCUGGUUCUCCCCGAAAUCUAUUUAGGUAGAGCCUCAGUGCAUGUUCCUGGGAGGUAGAGCGACUGGAUGGGCGCGGGCCGGCGACGCUGGUACCAACCCCAACCAAACUCCGAAUGCCCAUGGAAUGGACGCUGGGAGGCAGUCUGCGAGCGAUAAUGUUCGUAGGCGAGAGGGAAAGAACCCAGAGCCACAGCUAAGGCCCCGAAGUGGCCGCUGAGUAUAGCGAAGGAUGUGUCGUUGCCGUGACAACCAGGAGGUUGGCUUAGAAGCAGCCAUUCCUUUAAAGAGUGCGUAAUAGCUCACUGGUCCAGCGAAGAUGCGCCGAGAAUGGUCGGGAUUAAGCGGCCCGCCGAAGCUUGGCCUUCACACGUAUGUGUGAGGGGUAGGGGAGCGUUCUCAUCUGCGGUGAAGCGGUCGUGGAAACGAGCCGUGGAGCGAUGAGAAGUGAGGAUGCCGGAAUGAGUACGCGCAAAUGCGGGUGAGAACCCCGCACACCGGAAACCCAAGGGUUCCAGCGCCAUGGCAAUCAGCGCUGGGUGAGGCGGAUCCUAAGGCGAGGCCCCAGAGGCGUAGCUGAUGGUAAACAGGUCAAGAUUCCUGUCCGUCUCGAUAUUCGUUGAAGCCGUCAGGGACCCAGGAACAAGAUGACCGUGAGCUUGUGGAUUGCUCAUGUAACCGCGUAGGCGCAAGCCGAGACGGGAUGCCGAGGAGCGCAGCGAUGCAUUCCAAGGGUUGUGGCGUCGACUGGCAAGAAAAGCUGACGGGGGAGGGUAUCGAGGCUCCGUACCGUAAACCGACACAGGUGGGUAAGGCGAGUAGCCUCAGGUGAACGAGUGAAACGUGGUCAAGGAACUCGGCAUAAUGAUCCCGUAACUUCGGAAGAAGGGAUGCCUUGAUGAGUCAGGGGAACACCCGAAGCUUGUCGAGGCCGCAGAGAAUCGGCUCAAGCGACUGUUUAGCAAAAACACAGGUGCGUGCCAAGCCGCAUAAGGCGCCGUAUACGCACUGACGCCUGCCCGGUGCCGGAAGGUUAAGGGGAGAGGUUAGCCGCAAGGCGACGCCUUGAGCCGAAGCCCCGGUAAACGGCGGCCGUAACUAUAACGGUCCUAAGGUAGCGAAAUUCCUUGUCGGGUAAGUUCCGACCUGCACGAAUGGCGUAACGACUUGAGCACUGUCUCGACCACGUGCUCGGCGAAAUUGCAGUCUCGGUGAGGAUUCCGAGUCCCCGCGACAGGACAAAAAGACCCUAUGCACCUUUACUGUAGCUUGUCAUUGGACGGUGCACUUCACUGUGUAGCAUAGGUGGGAGCCGAUGAGCCCGGGGCGCUAGCUCCGGGGGAGGCACCAGUGAAAUACCACCCUGGGUGGUGUGCUGUCCUCACUACGCAAGGCAAACCCUUGCUAGGACCGUGGCAGGUGGGCAGUUUGACUGGGGCGGUCGCCUCCGAAAGAGUAACGGAGGCGCGCGCAUGGUUGGCUCAGCGCGGUCGGUACUCGCGCUUAUAGAGUGUAACAGCAGAAGCCAGCCUGACGGUGAGACCGACGGGUCGAACCGGGACGAAAGUCGGCUGUAGUGAUCCGGUAGCCCGGUGUGGAUCGGCUAUCGCGCAACGGAUAAAAGGUACGCUAGGGAUAACAGGCUUAUCGCGCCCGAGAGUUCACAUCGACGGCGCGGUUUGGCACCUCGAUGUCGGCUUAUCACAUCCUGGGGCUGGAGAAGGUCCCAAGGGUCCGGCUGUUCGCCGGUUAAAGUGGUACAUGAGCUGGGUUCAGAACGUCGUGAGACAGUUCGGUCUGUAUCCGUCGUGGGCGCUGGACAAUUGAGGGGUGCGGACUCUAGUACGAGAGGACCGAGUCGGACGAUCCGCUCGUGUCCCGGCUGUCCUGCCAAGGGCACCGCCGGGUAGCGAUGAUCGGUGGCGAUAACCGCUGAACGCAUCUAAGUGGGAAACGCCCCCCAAGAUGAAUUGUCCCUGGUGCCUUGAGCACCCUGAAGGGCCGGAGGAGACGACUCCGUCGAUAGGCCGCCCGUGGACGUGGAGCAAUCCAUUCCGAGCGCAGCGGUCCUAAUCGCCCGUGCGGCUUGACUCC